rnacentral:ncRNA from 1 species
AUAAUGAUACUCCCUUAUAGCCACAGUCCGAGCGUUAAAAGCAAAGCGUCGCAGGCAAUGGGUAGGGCUGCGCGAGAACCGCGCAGGGGUGCAAUUCCCGUGA